GACGAACGCUGGCGGCGUGCCUAAUACAUGCAAGUAGGACGCAGUUGCGAACGGGUGAGUAACGCGUAGGUAACUACCUAUUAGAGGGGGAUAACUAUUGGAAACGAUAGCUAAUACCGCAUACUAGUAGAUGGACCUGCGUUGUAUUAGCUAGUAGGUAGGGUAAUGGCCUACCUAGGCAACGAUACAUAGCCGGCCGGGGAGGGUGAUCGGCCACAGUGGGACUGGGGCAGGGGCCAGGGUCCCACUGGAGGCAGCAGUGGGGCAUCUUCGGCGAUGGGGGGAAGCCUGACCGGGGAAAGCCGCGGGAGUUAGGAAGGUUAUCGGAUUGUAAAGCGCUGUUGUUAAGGAAGCGGUACUUAACCAGAAAGGGACGGCUAACUACGUGCCAGCAGCCGCGGUAAUUC
rnacentral:rRNA from 1 species